AGUGAACGCUGGCGGUAGGCCUAACACAUGCAAGUCGAACGGCAGCACAGUAAGAGCUUGCUCUUACGGGUGGCGAGUGGCGGACGGGUGAGGAAUACAUCGGAAUCUACUUUUUCGUGGGGGAUAACGUAGGGAAACUUACGCUAAUACCGCAUACGACCUACGGGUGAAAGCAGGGGAUCUUCGGACCUUGCGCGAUUGAAUGAGCCGAUGUCGGAUUAGCUAGUUGGCGGGGUAAAGGCCCACCAAGGCGACGAUCCGUAGCUGGUCUGAGAGGAUGAUCAGCCACAAUGGAACUGAGACACGGUCCAGACUCAUACGGGAGGCAGCAGUGGGGAAUAUUGGACAAUGGGCGCAAGCCUGAUCCAGCCAUACCGCGUGGGUGAAGAAGGCCUUCGGGUUGUAAAGCCCUUUUGUUGGGAAAGAAAAGCAGCAGGUUAAGACCCCGCUGUUCUGACGGUACCCAAAGAAUAAGCACCGGCUAACUUCGU
rnacentral:rRNA from 1 species